AACGAACGCUGGCGGCAGGCUUAACACAUGCAAGUCGAGCGCCCCGCAAGGGGAGCGGCAGACGGGUGAGUAACGCGUGGGAAUCUACCGUGCCCUACGGAAUAACGCAUGGAAACGUGUGCCAAUACCGCAUACGCCCUACGGGGGAAAGAUUUAUCGGGGUAUGAUGAGCCCGCGUUGGAUUAGCUAGUUGGUGGGGUAAAGGCCUACCAAGGCGACGAUCCAUAGCUGGUCUGAGAGGAUGAUCAGCCACAUUGGGACUGAGACACGGCCCAAACUCCUACGGGAGGCAGCAGUGGGGAAUAUUGGACAAUGGGCGCAAGCCUGAUCCAGCCAUGCCGCGUGAGUGAUGAAGGUCUUAGGAUUGUAAAGCUCUUUCACCGGUGAAGAUAAUGACGGUAACCGGAGAAGAAGCCCCGGCUAACUUCGUGCCAGCAGCCGCCGUAAAAC
rnacentral:rRNA from 1 species